rnacentral:rRNA from 1 species
GAGUUUGAUCGUGGCUCAGAUUGAACGCUGGCGGCAUGCCUUACACAUGCAAGUCGAACGGCAGCAUGAUCUAGCUUGCUAGAUUGAUGGCGAGUGGCGAACGGGUGAGUAAUACAUCGGAACGUGCCCUGUAGUGGGGGAUAACUAGUCGAAAGAUUAGCUAAUACCGCAUACGACCUGAGGGUGAAAGUGGGGGACCGUCAAGGCCUCAUGCUAUAGGAGCGGCCGAUGUCUGAUUAGCUAGUUGGUGGGGUAAAGGCCCACCAAGGCGACGAUCAGUAGCUGGUCUGAGAGGACGAUCAGCCACACUGGGACUGAGACACGGCCCAGACUCCUACGGGAGGCAGCAGUGGGGAAUUUUGGACAAUGGGCGAAAGCCUGAUCCAGCAAUGCCGCGUGUGUG